GACGAACGCUGGCGGCGUGCUUAACACAUGCAAGUCGAACGGAAAGGCCCUGCUUUUGUGGGGUGCUCGAGUGGCGAACGGGUGAGUAACACGUGAGUAACCUGCCCUUGACUUUGGGAUAACUUCAGGAAACUGGGGCUAAUACCGGAUAGGAGCUCCUGCUGCAUGGUGGGGGUUGGAAAGUUUCGGCGGUUGGGGAUGGACUCGCGGCUUAUCAGCUUGUUGGUGGGGUAGUGGCUUACCAAGGGUUUGACGGGUAGCCGGCCUGAGAGGGUGACCGGCGAAAUGGGGACUGAGAUACGGCCCAGACUCCAACGGGAGGCAGCAGUGGGGAAUAUUGCAAAAUGGGAGGAAGCCUGAUGAAGCAACGCCGGGUGCGGGAUGACGGCCUUCGGGUUGUAAACAAAUUUAGCCUGUGACGAAGCGUGAGUGACGGUAAUGGGUAAAGAAGCACCGGCUAACUACGUG
rnacentral:rRNA from 1 species